rnacentral:lncRNA from 1 species
AAGCCAAGAAAAAUAGAAAGAAAACUGGAAUUUCCGAUGAAGAUUUGAAGAGAAAUAAUUUGAAAAUUCGAUUUCUUUCUUUCUGGGCUUCGAAAAGUUGUUCUUGAGCUGUGGAAUAGCUGUAUUGUCGCUGUUGUUGCUGGCAACCGUACUGAGCUCUGUUUGGUUUCGAUUUCGCCUUUAUUUGCCCAACUUGUUGGUGAUUUCACUGUUCAGCUAGGUCAGUUCUUAAAUUCCUUGUAUUAUGUUUUCGUUGAAUGAUUGACGAUUGGGCGAAUUCCAAUUAACUAUUUUAUAUAUGCCAAAGUUAAGAAUUCUGUUACUUUAAUGUGCCAUGAAUGUAUAUUUUUAAUUUGAUUGAAACGUUUAAAUGACUCAAAAUGAGAUGUUUUAUGUGAAUUACGCAUUUCAUGCUCUCAAUUAGGACAUUGUUGUUAGUUGUGAGUUUUUGAUUGGUUGGAUUUGUAACGUCAAAGCUAAGAGAUAUGCUCUAGGAGUAGUUCAUAUGUUGCUGGUAAGUUAUUGUAUGCAAAUUUGUAUUUAACUGACUCUCAACGAUUUCAAACAUCAUUUCUAUCCUAGUUCAGUUAGAUAGUCCGUCACUGGCGGAUUGAUUUUGAAUUGAGUUUCGUCCGUAGGAACAGCUUCGCAUUUUAGUCUUGAAAUAUUCUGUCAGGUUCAAAGCGAUCCAUAGUUGCUGCAAAUUAGCUCCAAGACAGAUGCGUUACUGCUGAAAAUCAGCCAUGAAAACUCCAUUUUUCCGCCACGGAAUCCAAUUCUUAAAGCUACCUUAAACCACUCCAAAAUCUAGCCAUAACAAGCAGUAAAACGCAGCAAAACCCGCUGCAAGGCUGCCGAAAAAUAGCUCCAAAGCAGGCCCAAAUCAGCGCCCCAGAAAUGCUGAAAGCAGAUCGCCAAAAUACCCCCAAAAUAGCCCAGUAACGACCUAAAAUACAACCCUGCUUCUUGGUGAAAAUUAGCUACAAAACAGCCCCCAAACUACUCAAUAACGAGCUCAUAUCCACUCCAAAAAUGCAGCAACACCAGCUGCGAAGAUCAGUUGCAAAUCAGUCCAAAUACUACAUCAAAUUCCACCCUAAAAUAGCAGCAAAAACAACUACAACACAGCCUCCCCCCCCCCCCCCAGGACCACCCGUUAACCACCUAUUGUGGCCAUUUAAUACCACCAAUAACUUAACUCAAUCCAAGUUCUUAAUCUUUUAAGUUUUGGUUUGUUCUAGGUUUUGGUUCAAGGUCGUUGUUAAGUUUGUGGUUGACCGAUUCUGUUCUAUUAGAAGUUCCAUGUUUCGCCUUUUGUUUGGAGAAAAAUCAAAACUACCAGAAUUCCUUGUAUUGU